CCUACGGGAGGCAGCAGUGAGGAAUAUUGGUCAAUGGACGAGAGUCUGAACCAGCCAAGUAGCGUGAAGGAUGACUGCCCUAUUGGUUGUAAACUUCUUUUAUAAAGGAAUAAAACGAGGCACGUGUGCCUUUUUGCAUGUACUUUAUGAAUAAGGAUCGGCUAACUCCGUGCCAGCAGCCGCGGUAAUACGGAGGAUCCGAGCGUUAUCCGGAUUUAUUGGGUUUAAAGGGAGCGUAGAUGGGUUGUUAAGUCAGUUGUGAAAGUUUGCGGCUCAACCGUAAAAUUGCAAUUGAUACUGGCAGUCGUGAGUACAGUUGAGGUAGGCGGAAUUCGUGGUGUAGCGGUGAAAUGCUUAGAUAUCACGAAGAACCCCGAUUGCGAAGGCAGCUUACUAAACUGUGACUGACAUUGAUGCUCGAAAGUGUGGGUAUCAAACAGGAUUAGAUACCCCUGUAGUC
rnacentral:rRNA from 1 species